rnacentral:rRNA from 1 species
AAUCAACGCUGGCGGCGUGCCUAACACAUGCAAGUCGAACGAGAAAGUGGGGGCAACUCCACAAGUAAAGUGGCAGACGGGUGAGUAACACGUGAACAACCUACCCUUGAGUGUGGGAUAACACCGCGAAAGCGGUGCUAAUACCGCAUGACAUCUCGGGAUCGCAUGAUCCGGAGAUCAAAAGCGAAAGCUGCUCGAAGAGGGGUUCGCGCCUGAUUAGCUAGUUGGUGAGGUAACGGCCCACCAAGGCCACGAUCAGUAGCCGGCCUGAGAGGGCGAACGGCCACACUGGAACUGAGACACGGUCCAGACUCCUACGGGUGGCAG